UACGUAGGGGGCAAGCGUUGUCCGGAAUCAUUGGGCGUAAAGCGCGUGUAGGCGGUCCGGUAAGUCCGCUGUGAAAGUCGGGGGCUCAACCCUCGAAAGCCGGUGGAAACUGUCGGGCUAGAGUACGGAAGAGGCGAGUGGAAUUCCUGGUGUAGCGGUGAAAUGCGCAGAUAUCAGGAGGAACACCAAUUGCGAAGGCAGCUCGCUGGGACGUUACUGACGCUGAGACGCGAAAGCGUGGGGAGCAAACAGG
rnacentral:rRNA from 1 species